ACCGCUCAGUAACACGUGGACAACCUACCCAAAGGUCUGGGAUAACUCCGGGAAACUGGGGAUAAUACCGGAUAGGUCAAGAGUACUGGAAGGGUUUUUUGAUUGAAAGCUCUGGCGCCUUUGGAUGGGUCUGCGGCUGAUUAGGUUGACGCCGGUGUAAAGUACCGGCGUGCCGAUUAUCAGUACGGGUUGUGGGAGCAAGAGCCCGGAGAUGGAUUCUGAGACACGAAUCCAGGCCCUACGGGGCGCAGCAGGCGCGAAAACUCUACAAUGCAGGCAACUGCGAUAGGGGAACAUCGAGUGGCAUCUACAUUAGGUGUCUGUCCAGCUGUCUAAAAAACGGCUGUUAGCAAGGGCCGGGCAAGACCGGUGCCAGCCGCCGCGGUAAUACCGGCGGCUCGAGUGGUGGCCGAUAUUAUUGAGUCUAAAGGGUCCGUAGCCGGCUUUGCAAGUCUUGUGGGAAAUCCUGCGGCUUAACCGUUGGGCGUCUGCGGGAUACUACAUUGCUUGGGACUGGGAGAGGUAGGAGGUACUCAGGGGGUAGGAGUGAAAUCCUGUAAUCCUCUGGGGACCACCGGUGGCGAAGGCGUCCUACCAGAACAGGUCCGACGGUGAGGGACGAAAGCUAGGGGCACGAACCGGAUUAGAUACCCGGGUAGUCCUAGCCGUAAACGAUGCCCGCUAGGUGUCACGGCAGUCGUGAACUGCCGUGGUGCCGUAGGGAAGCCGUGAAGCGGGCCACUUGGGAAGUACGACCGCAAGGUUGAAACUUAAAGGAAUUGGCGGGGGAGCAC
rnacentral:rRNA from 1 species